UACUGACGCUAAAGCUCGAAGGUGCGGGUAUCGAACAGGAUUAGAUACCCUGGUAGUCCGCACGGUAAACGAUGGAUGCCCGCUGUUUGCGAUAUACUGUGAGCGGCCAAGCGAAAGCGUUAAGCAUCCCACCUGGGGAGUACGCCGGCAACGGUGAAACUCAAAGGAAUUGACGGGGGCCCGCACAAGCGGAGGAACAUGUGGUUUAAUUCGAUGAUACGCGAGGAACCUUACCCGGGCUUGAACUGCAGCAGAACGAUUGAGAGAUCAUGAGGUCCUUCGGGACUGCUGUGGAGGUGCUGCAUGGUUGUCGUCAGCUCGUGCCGUGAGGUGUCGGCUUAAGUGCCAUAACGAGCGCAACCCCUCUCUUCAGUUGCCAUCACUUCGGGUGGGCACUCUGGAGACACUGCCACCGUAAGGUGUGAGGAAGGUGGGGAUGACGUCAAAUCAGCACGGCCCUUACGUCCGGGGCUACACACGUGUUACAAUGGGUGGUACAGAGCGUCGGCCGCCGGCAACGUCGGUCCAAUCGUGAAAUCCAUCCUCAGUUCGGACUGGGGUCUGCAACCCGACCCCACGAAGCUGGAUUCGCUAGUAAUC
rnacentral:rRNA from 1 species